CAGAGUAAGUGCCCACCUACAAUAAGCAAAACCACAUAAUCUAAGUGAAUGUGUUUAUUGACGCACAUAGAUGUGCUCUGCAGUUCGACUACAGACAAUGGCCUGUGGAAUCUCUGACAUUUGCAGACAGAAAAGGAAGCAAACCUGUCCUGUUCUUGUCACCUCGGCAACACAGUCAAGCAUAGACAUUGACACUUCAGAGACAGCCGUUCAUUUGUCUCUUCCAGUACCCAAAGGUAGAAGGUUUUACUAGGAAAGCAGUACGAGAGGAGCAUAUUUAAACCAAAGCAGAACAGGAGAUUUAUGCUCUCUGCUAUGUGUUCCUCAAGAAGCCUGCGGUAGUAAAAGUCUGAAGGAUUAGAAACACAGCCAGAGUCAAAGAAACCUCCAAGAGGGCACUUUGGUACAGACCUUAAACUUCCCAAUGGAAAUAGAAGAGACAGGAUAGUUUGCUUAUAAAAUACAGGCACUAACUGAAAGUGAUUGGGUCCUGCCACUUAAUAAAUAGCUGUUCAUAUGCUAAGGCUUCAUAAGUGUGUGCAUGCAUGCUCUUAGCCCUUCCUGGCUGUAAGAUUAAAAAAUGUGUUAACUUAAACCACCUUCACAGAACUGAAGCUGGUGCGUGCUGGAUUUCAGCUCAGCCAUGAGCAUGUGUGUGCUCAGUAACAAGUGGUACCUGUUAAAGUGACAUGAAAUGCUUGCAGAUCUCAGAUUAUGCAGUGAUAGGUGUACUGGAAGCUGAAGACACAGAGAACUUCUACUGGGCUAAAAACUGUGUAGCUCUAUUGAUCUGAUGCCAGUGAAGAUUGAGCCUAUUGCACUUAGAGAACAGAUAUCUACUGUGGCUUCUAAAAUUUAAAAAAAAAAGAUCAAAAGAAAUGGAGGUAGCGGUUAUCUUACAGAAGGAAAUGUAGAACAAGAUGUGCGGAUUUGGAGACGAUGUGGAACUGACAACCUGAGAAAUGCCAUCCAUAAAGGAAGGACUUGGUAUCACACAGGGCCUGGAAGCUCCUGAGGAGACUGACACUGAAGAAGAGGAUGGAAGCAGUCAGGACAGCUGCCUGCUGAGGACGCUAGGAAGAAUGUGAAUGAAGCUUGAAGCAAAACAAAUACAAAGAAAGUGAAUGAAGCUUGAAGCAAGACAGGUAUUAAUGAAUGAGCUCUGGCAAGGCAAAAUGAGAGCACCAGUCUGAAUAGAAAGAAGAGGCAGUGAAUCUUCUGUAAGGCUUUUUUUCAUAAAAUAUUGACUAUUUUUAAUUAAAAUAUUAUAAAAUAUUUAGACUAAAAUAUAUAAAAUAUCAUAAAAUAUUGCUCAUUUGGAUGCUGCCCAGCCACCCUCACAAAUGAACACUCUCCAUUGACACACACUUCUGUGCCUCCUACUCAGCUUUCCUCAGGAGGGUCAUGGCAAAAUGAGGCUGAAAAAUAGGAAAUCUACCAUUUUCUAAGCUGAGAAGAGCAGUGCCAGGAUCAAUACAGCAUGAAACAAGCAUUGGACACAGCCUAACCACAGUCUCUAAACCUUCAUUGCAGCUCCUCUUUGUGGUUUUGGAAGGUCUCUGAAAGAGAAGAAACAAUUUCCUUCUUACUGCAAGCAAUGCCCAUCAAAGUUAUUUUAAUGUAGAAAAACAAAAGUGGCAAAGGGGUUCUGAGGCGCAAAUGAUGUGAACCCUCAUUGCAAAUAGGGGUGCAAAUAAGGGAAUUGUUGCUCUUAUCACUGUGGAUUUGGGGUCCUCCUGUGUUCCCAUAGUUCUCAGUGUUCCAUGGGCAAAAAUCCUGUCAAACACUGUGUUUAGUACAAGAGCAAAAAUGGCUCUUUUCCAUCCACAGAAGUUUUGUGUUUUACAUUUCACGUUUUAUGUCAGUUCUGUCUGGGUUUAUCCCACUUGCUGUCCUCAGAAAUCUCUCCCAAGAUCCUGCUGCCCAGUAAUGUGACUAACAAAUCAGAGAUGCACCAUACUUUCUGCUCAAUUUAGGACAGAAAAACAACCCUCACACAAGCAGUAUCUAGGCUAUUGCUGAGAAUGGUGCUGAGCAUUUCAGAUAGAUGUUCAGAAAAGACUAAAAGGCAGCUACAGAAGAGAAUCUUCAUGAAAUACAUUUCCUCCCAAUCCUUCUUACUCAGUGACACAUGAUCUUUUUUUUUUUUUUUUUUUUUUUUGAAGAGGAAAACUGCAGCAUUCUAUGGGGGUUUUUUUGCUUCCACAGAAAUGUGAGUGGUUUUUUGGAAUCUUUGUCACAAAAUGAACUCUUUCAGCAGUAAGAAAUCUUGCAACACUAGGUGACAUGCUUUGUGCCCAUCCUGUUCUUUCUUCCCCGUAACUUUUCAUGGGACCCUGUGGUUAUUCCUGUCACCUACUAACUGUUCUUCAACUCUGAAAUAGUAAAAAAUAAAAUGGAGAUAUGAAAUAAGGAGGAUGCAGCUCCAGAGACCUGGCUAAACAGAGAUAAGUGGGGCAAUGAAGGCUAAUAUGACAGGGCAGCUAGAUUGGAUGAAAGUUAUUUACAGCUUUUUAAGUUUUCCAAGAUUGCAGUGGCCUAUCAAUUUAUGCUGGAAGCAUUGUUUUUAUGCUCCAUAAGUACGUUGCAAAUGUUGCAGUCCAGGGGCUGCUCUUUUUCUGCCACUGACCCUCUCUGUGGCCUUAGCUAAAUCACUUUACCUUGUUGUUACCUUUAAUCAAAUUGUGCCCUUGUAAAGUAUGAUCCCUCUUUAAUGUGUCAGUAUCAUGACAUUGACUUGAUGGGGACUUCUAACAUUCUAACCUAAUUAUUGAUAAUAAAACAUAACUAGCUGAGAAGAAUCAAACCAUUUUCUUAUAGCUUUUACUUAGAAGAUUUUUAUUUUCAUGAAGGUCUGAGAGAUUUCCAUGUUUUGCGGGGUAAUAGAAAUGGAUUGGUAAUGUUAUGUACUGGAAUAUCUCUCAGAAAAAUGUAUACCUACAAGACCCCUUUAGUAUCACUUCAUGCUCCUGUAGUCUGCCAGCCUUACACAAAUCUAGUCCUGUACAAUUUUUUUCCUGCAAAACAAGCUAUUAAAAGAUGGUUUUGCUGCUCCUCUGCAUUAAUAAUUUGUUUGCACACAAAGAUUAC